GAUGAACGCUGGCGGCGUGCCUAAUACAUGCAAGUCGAGCGAACAGAUGAGGAGCUUGCUCCUCUGACGUUAGCGGCGGACGGGUGAGUAACACGUGGAUAACCUACCUAUAAGACUGGGAUAACUUCGGGAAACCGGAGCUAAUGCCGGAUAAUAUAUUGAACCGCAUGGUUCAAUAGUGAAAGACGGUUUUGCUGUCACUUAUAGAUGGAUCCGCGUCGCAUUAGCUAGUUGGUAAGGUAACGGCUUACCAAGGCAACGAUGCGUAGCUGACCUGAGAGGGUGAUCGGCCACACUGGAACUGAGACACGGUCCAGACUCCUACGGGAGGCAGCAGUAGGGAAUCUUCCGCAAUGGGCGAAAGCCUGACGGAGCAACGCCGCGUGAGUGAUGAAGGUCUUCGGAUCGUAAAACUCUGUUAUUAGGGAAGAACAAAUGUGUAAGUAACUAUGCACGUCUUGACGGUACCUAAUCAGAAAGCAACGGCUAACUACGUG
rnacentral:rRNA from 1 species